GACUGCAGGCUGCAACUCGCCUGCACGAAGUUGGAAUUGCUAGUAAUCGCGGAUCAGCAUGCCGCGGUGAAUACGUUCCCGGGUCUUGUACACACCGCCCGUCACACCAUGGGAGUCGGAAAUGCCCGAAGUCUGUGACCCAACCUUAGGGAGGGAGCAGCCGAAGGCAGGUCGGAUGACUGGGGUGAAGUCGUAACAAGGUAAC
rnacentral:rRNA from 1 species